rnacentral:lncRNA from 1 species
GAAAACUUUAUUCUAAUAGAUGGAUCCAUUGAGCUCUUGCAUUUCACCUACACGUCUACAAUAACACUUUUCAAAAGUCAAUUUUUUCAAUUAAGAAUAAUGUAAGGUGAUUUUUUUUUACAUCCCAACAUUUCAAAGAUAUAAUAAUUCUGCUUGUGGAACUUCCCUUUUCAUAAUAAAAUUAUUAAUAGAAUGAUAACAUGACCUAUCACACAGGAUUACAACAUUACGCUUAUUUUAGUACUUUUGAGUGGAAUUCGAACUUCCUUGUAUAGAAGGUGGACUUGGAACCUCAAAUAACCAUAAAAUCUCCUAAAUCAUAAAGGAUUCUGAGCAUAAAAUUCAUCAAGUUUCUUCCAUCACCUAUUUCAAUAGGUAUGUUCAAAGGGCUAUAUAUUUAGCUGCACAUGUUUUCUGUCAAUACCAAGAACAGCUUCUCAGCAUUGUUUUGAGGACCUCAAUAUGGUUCCUGAAUGUGAAAUUAAAGACAUACAUCACUGCAUUUGUAUGUGCUGAAAUUCUUGUACCUAUUAUUAGUUGUAAGUUAAAGGUAGUCACAAUAAUACUAAAACUGAACUGAAGCCUAUUUUUAGAGAAAGCAUUCCAUUCACUGUUCAAUAGAAUUGGUUGAUUAUGAAGAACCAUCAAAGCUAGAGCAAAGUCAUUGUUG